rnacentral:rRNA from 1 species
CCUACGGGGGGCAGCAGUGAGGAAUAUUGGUCAAUGGACGAGAGUCUGAACCAGCCAAGUAGCGUGAAGGAUGACUGCCCUAUGGGUUGUAAACUUCUUUUAUAAAGGAAUAAAACGAGGCACGUGUGCCUUUUUGCAUGUACUUUAUGAAUAAGGAUCGGCUGACUCCGUGCCAGCAGCCGCGGUAAUACGGAGGAUCCGAGCGUUAUCCGGAUUUAUUGGGUUUAAAGGGAGCGUAGAUGGGUUGUUAAGUCAGUUGUGAAAGUUUGCGGCUCAACCGUAAAAUUGCAAUUGAUACUGGCAGUCGUGAGUACAGUUGAGGUAGGCGGAAUUCGUGGUGUAGCGGUGAAAUGCUUAGAUAUCACGAAGAACCCCGAUUGCGAAGGCAGCUUACUAAACUGUGACUGACAUUGAUGCUCGAAAGUGUGGGUAUCAAACAGGAUUAGAUACCCUAGUAGUC